rnacentral:lncRNA from 1 species
AGGCAUGUGUUUGGGUUUUUUGCAGAACAUGAAUCUGCUUACCUAUGAGAUGAUGUCUCGAAGGAAUAAUCUUCAGAUUUUGAAAGACUUGGAACGUGAUGACCAGCUGCGUGGUAACGAUGAGGAGCCCGCUGGUGCUAAUACUAGUACUACAAGGGCUUCAGAAGCAGAAGGUGAAGCUAAGUCCUCAAAUAAUGAUCCACGCUAUGCUGCAGCUGCUUUUGGCGCUGAUGAAUUUAUGAAUAAUCCCUCUUUACAUGAUUGCCAACUCUUGCAGCCUUGAUAUAUCACUUUUUCUUAGUCAUGGAAGAGGUGCAUUUCCGGGUUUAAUUUUGUAAUUCUGGACUUGAAGAUAUUUUCAUUUUGGACCCUUAUCAUGAAAUGGUAUUGAACUAGAUAGUAUUUAAGACAACAUGCUUUCUUAUUUUCAAGUUGUAGGGUUACUUAAUUGAUUUAGCUUCGAUUAUAUGUAUUAUGACUAGCAAAUAUGUUCUUUGCUAAAUAUUCU